AGCUACCAUUUUCGGGGUGCAAAUUAUCACCUUAUUAAUAGCUCAGUUUAUAAUUAAAUAUUUAUUCAUACUCAAUAAAUUUCCUAAAAACUAGUAUUAAGAGUAGCUAAUGAUGUAGUUCAGCCUUCUACUCUUCACAAGUGUCAUUUUAUCAAACACUUAGAAUGCAUUCAAGAUUAGGGUUUCUAUUAGCAUGCACAAAAAGAAGUUCUUCUCUAUUAUUCGCUUCCCAAUCAAACCGCAACACAUUGGCGAAUUACUACAACCACCGAAUUUUGAUUAACAGUGCCGUAAAUAAGGUUAAUUUCUUCGAAAAAUCGAGUUUUCGUUUGUUUGGACAGCAACGUGGGUUUUGUAGAUACCCUGUUAAUGCUGCUUUAGAGCAAUUUUCAGAUGAUGAGUAUGAAUGCGACUACGAAAAUCAUCCGGCUUCGUCAUCAGUGGCCAAUGUAGAUGAGUGGAAAUGGAAACUUAGCCUGCUGUUGUUAAAAUGAAAAAGAUCAAGAAAUUGUAUCCAGAGAUAAACGGGAUAGAAGAGACUAUGAGCAGAUAUCUAACCUUGCUAAAAGGAUGGGUCUCCAUAGUGAAAUUUAUGGGAAAGUUGUAGUUGUGAGCAAGGUUCCUCUUCCAAAUUACAGACCUGAUCUUGAUGAUAAGCGGCCUCAAAGAGAGGUAGUAAUUCCACUAAGUUUGCAGAGGAGAGUAGAAGGCUUGCUUCAA